GAUUUUAGAUAAUUCUUACUAUUAUUAAUUUUAAUCAAUUAUAUAAUCAAAUAAAUUAAAAUUUCAUUUUUAUUUUUGAAUUUAUCUAUACAUUUUAUUAAUUAAGGGUAUAAACGAUAUUAACCGCUCUAACUUUUAACGUGAGAGCUCCGUUGCAAAAUUUUACUUCGCAAAUAAUAGUAUAGAUUAAAUCACCAAAAAUAAAGAGCUUUUUUCGUUUCGUCUUGCGAGUGACCAUUUUUUUUCACGCCGAAAUACAUAUCUCUCUCCAUCAAAUGAGACGCGGCCACGUCACUAAGGACUUGAUCCUUAAACUCCUUGUCUACGGAUCGCUCCUUACCGAACUGGGCUUUGAUAAUAUUAUUUUAUAUCCGGAUUCGCCUAGGAUAUAGUACUAAGGAUUCGUCAAAAUGGGCCGUUGUGGAUGCUCUUAUAAUUAAGGUCACAUUCUCAAUUACUUUGUGCAGUUUAUUUUAUGAAUUCUAAAUAUAUAUUCAACAUGAUCAAUGUGCUUCUUAGAAAAAGUUCUAAAAUGCUGUCUUUUCGGAAUAUACAAAUUGCUCGGCCGUAAAUUAAGGAAAAUAAAAUAAUGUCAUAAGUGGGGUUUGAACCCACGCCACGCCCUCUUUCGAGGACCAGAACAUGAGUCUGCUGUGGAUGCUCUUAUAAUUAAGGUCACAUUCUCAAUUACUUUGUGCAGUUUAUUUUAUGAAUUCUAAAUAUAUAUUCAACAUGAUCAGUGUGCUUCUUAGAAAAAGUUCUAAAAUGCUGUCUUUUCGGAAUAUACAAAUUGCUCGGCCGUAAAUUAAGGAAAAUAAAAUAAUGUCAGAAGUGGGGUUUGAACCCACGCCCUCUUUCGAGGACCAGAACUUGAGUCUGCUAUGGAUGCUCUUAUAAUUAAGGUCACAUUCUCAAUUACUUUGUGCAGUUUAUUUUAGAAAUAUUUAUCCUCCAAGACACUUUAUGAGUUAUCAAUUACACAUAAAGACACAUUGAGUUAAGAGAACACUUUCUUAUGCUCAUUUGUCUGAAUUGCCCUUCAACUAGAAAGAAGAUGUCAUAACAUGUAUCAAAAUUAUUUUCAAUAUAAUUCCAUUUAAUUUUCACCUUUUACUUUCAAAUUUUUUAAUUCCCUAAAUUUAAUCAUGUCUCAAUCUAUCGUCAUCUUCAUCUCUCAUCUUUCAUAUCCUUCUAAAUAUUUUUUUUCUUCACAAAAUUUGUAGACUUUUUUUUUUAUAAUUCUAAAUCACUAAUUUUUGUUGUCGAGUUUUUAUCUUUCACCACUUUAUUUUUUAAAUCUCGAAUUCAUGGAAACCUCAAAUUGGGAGGUGAGGAAAGCCGAUUAUGAAAUCUCAGCUUGGAAGAUUCCAGAUCUUCACCGACGAAUACAUCCAAGACAGCAAAGCCGAUGUAUCUCCUGCAACAUUUGAUUCACAUGUCACCCAUCCUUUUCAUGUCCAUCAAUUUCCUUGUCCACAAAUGAACUAUCCACAAAGCUGUCUUGGAUCUAAGUUUGAUUCACAUGUCGCCCAUCCUUUACAGUGGAUGAGCUCGUGAUUUUCCGUGGAUGAACUUGGGAUUUGACGUGGAUGAACUCGAGGUAGUUGCCUUAGAUCUAAGUUUUUUAUCUCUUCAGUCUUCAUGGUGGCUUCUGUUGCAGAUAGAAAGCUCUAAAAGAAGCAAUGGUCAAAUUACUCUAUUUUACACAUAUGGUCCUCCUAUUUUUGGAUUUUUGCAAUUUGACCCCAACAUUCUUUAAUUUACUUAUAGAUCCUCUUGAUUUUGUCUCAAACUUUUAAUUAUGUACUUUAAUCCGCAAGAAUAAUUUUCUUAUCAACUCAUAUCCACACUUGCUAUGUCCAUUAGAAAUUAUUUAAUAAAAUUAAAAUU